rnacentral:rRNA from 1 species
CGAUCCCUAGCUGGUCUGAGAGGAUGACCAGCCACACUGGAACUGAGACACGGUCCAGACUCCUACGGGAGGCAGCAGUGGGGAAUAUUGCACAAUGGGCGCAAGCCUGAUGCAGCCAUGCCGCGUGUAUGAAGAAGGCCUUCGGGUUGUAAAGUACUUUCAGCGGGGAGGAAGGGAGUAAAGUUAAUACCUUUGCUCAUUGACGUUACCCGCAGAAGAAGCACCGGCUAACUCCGUGCCAGCAGCCGCGGUAAUACGGAGGGUGCAAGCGUUAAUCGGAAUUACUGGGCGUAAAGCGCACGCAGGCGGUUUGUUAAGUCAGAUGUGAAAUCCCCGGGCUCAACCUGGGAACUGCAUCUGAUACUGGCAAGCUUGAGUCUCGUAGAGGGGGGUAGAAUUCCAGGUGUAGCGGUGAAAUGCGUAGAGAUCUGGAGGAAUACCGGUGGCGAAGGCGGCCCCCUGGACGAAGACUGACGCUCAGGUGCGAAAGCGUGGGGAGCAAACAGGAUUAGAUACCCUGGUAGUCCACGCCGUAAACGAUGUCGACUUGGAGGUUGUGCCCUUGAGGCGUGGCUUCCGGAGCUAACGCGUUAAGUCGACCGCCUGGGGAGUACGGCCGCAAGGUUAAAACUCAAAUGAAUUGACGGGGGCCCGCACAAGCGGUGGAGCAUGUGGUUUAAUUCGAUGCAACGCGAAGAACCUUACCUGGUCUUGACAUCCACGGAAGUUUUCAGAGAUGAGAAUGUGCCUUCGGGAACCGUGAGACAGGUGCUGCAUGGCUGUCGUCAGCUCGUGUUGUGAAAUGUUGGGUUAAGUCCCGCAACGAGCGCAACCCUUAUCCUUUGUUGCCAGCGGUCCGGCCGGGAACUCAAAGGAGACUGCCAGUGAUAAACUGGAGGAAGGUGGGGACGACGUCAAGUCAUCAUGGCCCUUACGACCAGGGCUACACACGUGCUACAAUGGCGCAUACAAAGAGAAGCGACCUCGCGAGAGCAAGCGGACCUCAUAAAGUGCGUCGUAGUCCGGAUUGGAGUCUGCAACUCGACUCCAUGAAGUCGGAAUCGCUAGUAAUCGUGGAUCAGAAUGCCACGGUGAAUACGUUCCCGGGCCUUGUACACACCGCCCGUCACACCAUGGGAGUGGGUUGCAAAAGAAGUAGGUAGCUUAACCUUCGGGAGGGCGCUUACCACUUUGUGAUUCAUGACUGGGGUGAAGUCGUAACAAGGUAACCGUAGGGGAACCUGCGGUUGGAUCACCUCCUUACCUUAAAGAAGC